rnacentral:rRNA from 1 species
CCCUACGUGCGGCAGCAGUGGGGAAUAUUGGGCAAUGGGCGCAAGCCUGACCCAGCAACGCCGCGUGAAGGAAGAAGGCUUUCGGGUUGUAAACUUCUUUUGACAGGGAAGAGCAGAAGACGGUACCUGUCGAAUAAGCCACGGCUAACUACGUGCCAGCAGCCGCGGUAAUACGUAGGUGGCAAGCGUUGUCCGGAUUUACUGGGUGUAAGGGCGUGUAGCCGGGCUGACAAGUCAGUUGUGAAAUCCGGGGGCUCAACCCCCGAACUGCAUUUGAAAAUGUUGGUCUUGAGUAUCGGAGAGGCAGGCGGAAUUCCUAGUGUAGCGGUGAAAUGCGUAGAUAUUAGGAGGAACACCAGUGGCGAAGGCGGCCUGCUGGACGACAACUGACGGUGAGGCGCGAAAGCGUGGGGAGCAAACAGGAUUAGAUACCCGGGUAGUC